AUUGAACGCUGGCGGCAUGCCUUACACAUGCAAGUCGAACGGUAACGGGCCUUCGGGUGCCGACGAGUGGCGAACGGGUGAGCAAUGCAUCGGAACGUACCUUUCAGUGGGGGAUAACGUAGCGAAAGUUACGCUAAUACCGCAUAUUCUGUGAGCAGGAAAGCAGGGGAUCGCAAGACCUUGCGCUGAUUGAGCGGCCGAUGUCAGAUUAGCUAGUUGGUGAGGUAAAGGCUCACCAAGGCGACGAUCUGUAGCGGGUCUGAGAGGAUGAUCCGCCACACUGGAACUGAGACACGGUCCAGACUCCUACGGGAGGCAGCAGUGGGGAAUUUUGGACAUGGGGGCAACCCUGAUCCAGCCAUGCCGCGUGAGUGAAGAAGGCCUUCGGGUUGUAAAGCUCUUUCGGCCGGGAAGAAAUCGCACGGGCUAAUACCCUGUGUGGAUGACGGUACCGGAAUAAGAAGCACCGGCUAACUACGUGCCAGCCGCCGCGGUAAGAC
rnacentral:rRNA from 1 species